UUCUGGGGAAAUCGAGACGCAUCCCACAAUUGCUUUGUCAAUCAUGCGCGCCUCAUUAUCCCACGGGCACAUACGGCGUCUCAUCCUUGCAGCCUCUCCCUCCCUCUCGCCACCCCCCCCCUCUCUCACUCCCCUUCUCUUCACCAGACUUACGCACAAAGCCACCGCUCCGCUCCAUGUCCACGGCCCCGGCAUUCCUCUCUGACGUGCGGCGUGGGCCCUGCCGUCGAGGGAGGCAAGGCUGGUGAGUGUGGGCUGAACUCCCGGCACGCACAGCCAUGCCGGCGAGCGCUGCCGACCCCCCUCGAGCAGCAAUAGCUCCCCCGCUCCGCGACCGCCCCGGCCCCGCAUGUCGCUCCGGCUGACGCCAACAUCACCGCUCGGCGGCUCCCCACUCCUCGCCCUCCUCCUCGCCCUCCUCCUCUUCUUCCCCCGUGGCUGCCCGGCGCUUCCCGUGCACCGCGACUGUGGCCACCACCACGGGCGCGAUGGAACCCGCGCGUCCGGACCCCUCCUGGUGGCGCGCGGCGCGGGCCCCCCGUGCGCCCUGCGGGGGGAGGCGCGCGCGGCGCUCGACCUAGCCGAGUCCACGGCGAGGGGCGCCCGCGUCCUCUUGGUGGCGCGGCGCGACUCCCGGGCUCGCUGCGCGCACUCCUGCUGCCUCCACGGUGAUGCGUGCCACGUGGCUGUGUUCGUGUCUCUCCGCGGACCCCGCCAGCCCAACUGCCUCCUCGUGUCGUGCCCGCUGCUCUCCAGCUGCGUGCGCGCACGCGUGGGGGAGAGGUUCACCCUCUUCUCUUCCCGGGGCCACGGUGCAGAGACUCACCACAUCACCACCGUCACUAUACCGUCACCACCAUCAUCGUGGUCAUCAUCAUCACCACCAUCACCGUUCGCUAGAGAUUUACCGUGUACUACACCCGGGGCCACGGUGCAGAGACUCACCACAUCACCACCGUCACUAUACCGUCACCACCAUCAUCGUGGUCAUCAUCAUCACCACCAUCACCGUUCGCUAGAGAUUUACCGUGUACUACACCCGGGGCCACGGUGCAGAUACUCACCACAUCACCACUAUCAUCACCACCAUCAUCGUUAUCCUCUUCAUCAACCCGCUGUUCAAUCACUCCCAUCGUCAUCAUCACCACCACCGUUCACGAGAGAGAUGUAUCGUGCUAUCCUCCCGGGGCUCCGCUGCAGAGACUCACCACCUCAUCACCGCAUCACCACCACCACUACCACCA